rnacentral:rRNA from 1 species
UACGUAGGUUGCAAGCGUUACUCGGAAUUACUGGGCGUAAAGCGUGCGCAGGCGGUUUUUUAAGCCAGCUGUGAAAUCCCCGGGCUCAACCCGGGAACUGCGUCCGAGACUGGCAUGCUUGAAUCCGGGAGAGGGAUGUGGAAUUCCAGGUGUAGCGGUGAAAUGCGUAGAUAUCUGGAGGAACAUCGGUGGCGAAGGCGGCAUCCUGGACCGGUAUUGACGCUGAGGCGCGAAAGCCAGGGAAGCAAACGGG